GCGGAGGGCCGGAUGGCCGCUGGUGUCGCAAGGCACGAGAGGAAAGUCCGGACUCCACAAGGCAACGGUGCCGGGUAACGCCCGGGCAGGGCAACCUGACGGAUAGCGCCACAGAAAACAGACCGCCUGUGUCCGCACAGGUAAGGGUGAAACGGUGGGGUAAGAGCCCACCGCGCCGCUGGCAACAGGGGCGGCAUGGCAAGCCCCACCGGGAGCAAUGCCAAAUAGGACCCCCGCGCGGGACCGGUCCCGGCAACGGGAUACCGCCGCUAGGCGCGCGUUGGCCGAGAGGGGUCGGGUUGGCAGCUGGACGCACGUGGCAACACGGGCGCUAGAGGAAUGGUCAUCGACGGGGGUAACCCCUGAACAGAAUCCGGCUUACAGGCCCUCCGCGCAA
rnacentral:RNase_P_RNA from 1 species